rnacentral:rRNA from 1 species
GGCUGCAGAAUCACUAACUGUACAAAGGUAGCAUAAUAAUUUGGUUUCUAAUUAAAACCUUGAAUGAACGAUUUAAUGAGGUAUAAACUUUAUAAAUAAAAUAAAUUUAAAUUUUUAUUUAAGUAAAAAAACUUAAAUUUAUAAAAAAGACGACAAGACCCUAUAGAAUUUUAUUUAUUUAAAAAUUAAAUUUAAUUUAUAUAAUUUUUAAAUAAAUUUUAUUGGGGUAAUAAAAAAAUUUAACAAAUUUUUUUAAAAAUAAACAAUAAUUAUUGAAAAAAAAUCUUAAAAUUUAAAUUAAUAAAAUUAAUUACCUUAGGGAUAACAGCAUAAUUUUUUUUAAAAGAUCUUAUUAAUAAAAAAGAUUAU